AAUGGAGGAAACUCUGAUGCAGCAACGCCGCGUGGAGGACGAAGGUUUUCGGAUUGUAAACUCCUGUCUUUUGGGACGAUAAUGACGGUACCGAAAGAGGAAGCCACGGCUAACUACGUGCCAGCAGCCGCGGUAAUACGUAGGUGGCGAGCGUUGUCCGGAAUUACCGGGCGUAAAGGGCGCGUAGGCGGCCUGUUAAGUCAGAUGUGAAACCCCCAGGCUCAGCUUGGGGAUUGAAUAGGAAACUGAGGGGCUCGAGUGUGGGAGAGGAAAGCGGAAUUCCUGGUGUAGCGGUGAAAUGCGUAGAUAUUAGGAGGAACCCCAGUGGCGAGGGCGGCUUUCUGGACGAUAACUGACGCUGAGGCGCAAAAGCGUGGGGAGCAAA
rnacentral:rRNA from 1 species